rnacentral:rRNA from 1 species
AACGAACGCUGGCGGCAUGCCUAACACAUGCAAGUCGAACGACACCUUCGUGUCUAGUGGCGCACGGGUGCGUAACGCGUGGGAACCUGCCCUUAGGUUCGGAAUAACUCCCCUAAAGGGGUGCUAAUACCGGAUAAUGUCUUCGAACCAAGGAUUUAUCGCCUUUGGAUGGGCCCGCGUUGGAUUAGCUAGUUGGUAGGGUAAAAGCCUACCAAGGCGACGAUCCAUAGCUGGUCUGAGAGGAUGAUCAGCCACACUGGGACUGAGACACGGCCCAGACUCCUACGGGAGGCAGCAGUGGGGAAUAUUGGACAAUGGGCGAAAGCCUGAUCCAGCAAUGCCGCGUGAGUGAUGAAGGCCUUAGGGUUGUAAAGCUCUUUUACCCGGGAUGAUAAUGACAGUACCGGGAGAAUAAGCUCCGGCUAACUCCGUG